AAGAAAAGAGAUAAGCAAACGGUGCGUUUUGGUUUUGUUAAACGGUGUGACUCCUCAACUUCUACGAACUCACUUCUCUCUCUCGUUUCACAUACGAUUUCCGGCGAGUCCUCCGCCGUCGCCACCGUCUCUAAUCUCCCCCAAUCGACUCGACCUAAACACAAACCUAACCUAAACUUACGCCCCGAGCUUAAUCCUAUCGUCAAUUUCUCAUGAGGAGCGCGCAAUCGUCUGGAUCGAAAAGGGGGAGGAUGAACCCUAGAUCUUAGAUUUCAAGAUUCAAGCAAGAUUUCUAUCAAUUGAAGCGAGAGAACUUCUAAUCAGAUGAAAACUCUUAGAGAGGAGUCAGAAAAUGUGUCAAACUUACCUGUGUGGAGACCUGAGCCUUUGGUACGGUGGCGGAGAUUCCCGACCACCGUGAAACUCCGGCUGCGGUUUUUUGUAACUAACUGUCAGGUCUGAAUCUUGAAUGGAUGUGGUUGAUGGGGCUGUUUCAAUCAAACUCGAACCGAAGCGAGCUUAGGCUGACAGGAUGCUGACUUAUUGUUGAACUGUGGCAAGUGAGAUUAUACAAGUCAGCAGCAGGGGGCUGCAGCAAAUUGAAUGUGGGUCGGAAUUGGCGAGUGUAUCAUUUUGUUUUGCUGUAGCUUGUAUGUGUAAGUGUUUGGGCUAGUUUAUGGGUGGUGAGCUUGGACUGAUUCUGAAUUUUAGAAUUGUUUUAUCAAAGAGAUGGGGGCGUGAUGUAGUUUAUGUGAACCGAUUUUUAUGUCAUGGAUUUAGGUAUGGGUAUGGGGCUGUUAGUACUUGGUUAGAAAUUAGUAUGGAUAUGUGUUGGUUUCUGACUUUGUCUUAGUGAUGAACUGAUAUGGCAUGUUGCAGAAUUGGAUUUGAUGCAUGGUCGUGGAAUCGAGAUAUGGAGAAAAACGCUGAUGGAGGUGAACUUGAUGGAGCAGAAAAUGAGGACAGGAAGAAAUAUAGCAGAGUCUUCAGCUUCAUAGUCUUCUAUGUAACAGUUUGAAUUAUGAGGAAUUUUUGUAAAUUAAGGUUAUGUAAUUGGAUAUUUGAACCAUGGUGAACCACUUGUUUGAAUCAGUGAGGGUUUGUAUCAUGGACAUAGACCUGAUCUGAGUGAAAUAGAAUUUUAUCAAUUUGAGA